rnacentral:rRNA from 1 species
CUACAGGAUUCCCCUAGUAACGGCGAGUGAAGCGGGAUGAGCUCAAGCUUAAAAUCUCUGUCACAAAUUUAUUUUGUGCGGCGAAUUGUAGUCUAUAGAAGCGUGGUCAGUGUAGGCGCUUGGGUUAAGUUCCUUGAAAAAGGACAGCAUCGAGGGUGAUACUCCCGUUUGUACCUAAGUGUCUUAUGCGUACGACCCGUUUUCUUUGAGUCGCGUUGUUUGAGAAUGCAGCGCAAAGUAGGUGGUAAAUUCCAUCUAAAGCUAAAUAUUGGUGCGAGACCGAUAGCGAACAAGUACCGUGAGGGAAAGAUGAAAAGAACUUUGAAAAGAGAGUUAAAGAGUACCUGAAACUGCUGAAAGGGAACCGGAUCGUUUCUAGUGUCUAUAAUCCGUGACAUAUUUCAUUGGCGGGCGUGUGCGUAUGUGUACUAUGGCAGCGGCUAAUUGGCUGCGCUUGGUGUGCGUGCUGUGUGUGCUUACUGGUGCCCUGUGUUAUGGUGGGACGUCAAGGUCAGUUCGUAUGCUGCGGGAAAUGGCUGCUGAGGAGGUAGGGCUUACGCUUGCGUUUGUCUGUUAUAUCUUGGUGGUUUUGUCGUGGUUGGGACUGAGGUGUUCUACAACGUGCUCUUGAGUAGGUCUGCGUCUCCGUGUGCACCGUGUGCAGAUAGCUUGCUAUGUGUGUGUGGUUGUGUGUGGAUUGAUGCGGGCUUGAACUUGUUGCCGUUCGGGACUUUGACGAAAUAGAGCGAUUUGACCCGUCUUGAAACACGGACCAAGGAGUCUAACAUAUGUGCAAGUGUUAGGGUGUGGAAACCCCAGCGCGAAAUUAACGUAAAGGAUAGCGUAAGCUGUCUUAGGUAGGAAACGUUGCGGAUUUCGGUCUGUGGCGUGGCACUAUCGACCGAUCAUGAACCUUCGUGGUGAAAGAUUUGAGUUUGAGCACAUAUGUUGGUACCCGAAAGAUGGUGAACUAUGCCUGAGUAGGGUGAAGCCAGGGAAACUC